AUUUUGAAAAAUAAAAAAAUUAAAAUUUUCAAAUGAUAAACUUAGAAAUGUGCUAUUUUGGUCAUUUUAGUUUUGGAGUGCUAUUUUGUGAUAUAAACUUAGAAAUGUGCUAUUUUGGAGAUUUGCCCUUUCCAUUUUCUCAAAUAAUUUCUCUAAGUCAUGUUGUUAUCAAGCAAUGUCACAAAAGUUCCCUAAAAGAUCAAUAUUUCCAGUUUGUGUUGGAUUAGAGUUGGCUUCACGACUCUCGAACUGAUUAUCAUGAGCCCUAAAUGUACAAAUGCGUCAUAGAUUCGACUACAAAGAUGAGAUGUAAAAUAGUCAUAAGACUCGUAACGUCAUUAAUAUCUGCCUAAUAAACCAAACAAACCCGACUCAGAUGAACCCAAACCGAUCCAAAC
rnacentral:lncRNA from 1 species